rnacentral:rRNA from 1 species
UACGGGGGGGGCAAGCGUUGUUCGGAAUUACUGGGCGUAAAGCGUAUGCAGGCGGAUCAUUAAGUCGGGGGUGAAAUCCCGAGGCUCAACCUCGGAACUGCCUUCGAUACUGAUGAUCUUGAGUCCGGGAGAGGUGAGUGGAACUGCGAGUGUAGAGGUGAAAUUCGUAGAUAUUCGCAAGAACACCAGUGGCGAAGGCGGCUCACUGGCCCGGUACUGACGCUGAGAUACGAAAGCGUGGGGAGCAAACAGG